rnacentral:rRNA from 1 species
UCCGCCUAACCAUAAUUUUAAAAAUAAGUUUAAUCCUACUUAUUGUAACUAACUAACACAUACAAAUUUCUGCCCUUGAUCUAGCAUCUAAUUAUCGUUCCAUAUAAAGAUUACCUAAAUAACGGUGUACAUAAUUUAAAAAGAGAUAUAGAGCUUUGUCUAUUAAGCGCAAGUUCCUCUAAUUUACGUAAGCCGC